AUGGAGGAGGUCAACAAGGCUCUGGCUGAUCUGACGGCGGCGAUCAGCGCCAUGUCCGCCCAGAUCAGCGAGAUCCACCCCGUGCUCGAGCUCCAAGGGUGGCGUCCGGCAAUCGAGCAAUCCGUCAACGAGCUGCGUGCGGAGGUGACCGAUCUCCGCCAACACAUCCAGGCGCCGCGCCCGGCGUCCGAUGAGGCGCCCGAUCCGGUGCUGCAGAAGGAGACGGCGCCCCCGAUCCGCCUCUCCGACCUGCCGCCUCUACUUCCGGCCACGGCCGGCUCGUCCCUCCCUCGACCAGGCGAGCAACCACAUGCUCGCGGUGACGGCAGUCACGGGCCCGGUGGCCACGGCGCUACACAUGAAAUUCGGGGGAAAUCGGUGGGUGAAGUUCACACCCCACGAUUGCCUCCGGCCACUGGAAGAAGUGGUGGACGCAUUUCGGCGGGAUGA
rnacentral:rRNA from 1 species